GACGAACGCUGGCGGCGUGCCUAAUACAUGCAAGUAGAACGCUGAAGAGAGGAGCUUGCUCUUCUUGGAUGAGUUGCGAACGGGUGAGUAACGCGUAGGUAACCUGCCUUGUAGCGGGGGAUAACUAUUGGAAACGAUAGCUAAUACCGCAUAACAAUGGAUGACACAUGUCAUUUAUUUGAAAGGGGCAAUUGCUCCACUACAAGAUGGACCUGCGUUGUAUUAGCUAGUAGGUGAGGUAAUGGCUCACCUAGGCGACGAUACAUAGCCGACCUGAGAGGGUGAUCGGCCACACUGGGACUGAGACACGGCCCAGACUCCUACGGGAGGCAGCAGUAGGGAAUCUUCGGCAAUGGGGGCAACCCUGACCGAGCAACGCCGCGUGAGUGAAUAAGGUUUUCGGAUCGUAAAGCUCUGUUGUAAGUCAAGAACGGGUGUGAGAGUGGAAAGUUCACACUGUGACGGUAGCUUACCAGAAAGGGACGGCUAACUACGUGCCAGCAGCCGCGGUAAUACGUAGGUCCCGAGCGUUGUCCGGAUUUAUUGGGCGUAAAGCGAGCGCAGGCGGUUUGAUAAGUCUGAAGUUAAAGGCUGUGGCUCAACCAUAGUUCGCUUUGGAAACUGUCAAACUUGAGUGCAGAAGGGGAGAGUGGAAUUCCAUGUGUAGCGGUGAAAUGCGUAGAUAUAUGGAGGAACACCGGUGGCGAAAGCGGCUCUCUGGUCUGUAACUGACG
rnacentral:rRNA from 1 species